UGUUCAUUUUAUCAUCUUCAACAUUACAAGAAAAGAGAAAAACCUAGAGAUAGAGAAGGGGGGGCUCACGGCCAUGGUGAAAAAAAAUCCAUGUUCACCAAGCUUGGUCCAAUUAAUUUUUCCAUGGUGUUGUAAAUCAAAUGGAGGUCUUUGGGAACAUGAAUUGGUCCUUGAGAGCAGCAAGAAUGGUCUUUAAUUGAAGCCAUUAAAUUCAGCAAAUUAAGGAGCAACUUGCUAAGACCUUGGGCAGCCCGAAUCAUAGGUUGGAUUUAGCUUGAGUUUGGAUCGUAUUGGAGAGCGUUUGAGGUACAGACGCACACCCUGGUGAUCCACCUGUUUAGGACACCCUUUCUGCUAUUCGGAGGGCUCCUCUCUUUCCGGAGCUUAUACUUUUGGUAUAUAUAUUUAUUAGUGCAUUUGUAUAUAUUCGUUCAUGGGUACGGCGGGGCCCUGUCCCGUCAUAUGAUUCUGUCGGUCUGUUUAGAGGUCUGUGGACAUGUUUGUGGGUUAGGGUUUUUCUGUAUAGAUGUAUGUACAUGUCGUUUGGGCGAUCCCAUACGCCGAGGCGGCCGGUCCGCAUAUGUUGUUUGGGCGAUCCUAUACGCCGAGGCGGCCGGUCCGCAUAUGUUUAUAUAUUGCUUGGUUAGCCCUGUGUGGCUUUUGUUGGUAUUUUCUGCGUGCAGGGUAUAUUGGAUAGUCCGUAAAACAAAAGA